GUGUUGGGGAGGAAAGGGGCUCAACGAGCGGAGGAGGUGUCCGUCACUCCCCGAUACACACGCGCGCUCCCCCCCCCCCCACCUUUCGGUUGGGCUCGGCAGGCGGGGCGCGAGCGCGCGUGGGAGCGGGAGCGGGGGAAAAAAAAUCUUUCUCUCGCCUCCCCCAGUGGCGAGGGAGGAGGCAGGGAGUGACAGAGGGAUGUCCUCGGUGAUUCGGCGAUCGGCCGCGCGGGCUGGGGGUGAGGCUGCGGAAUCCCGAGCCGCGGAUGGGGCGGGAGAGGCAGCGCUCCCGGGACACGACGGGGUUAAGCUGGGUCGACCGCCAUUUUGAAUAGCGGGGAGGUCUUGCUGUUGCCCUGUAUCAGAAAAACCUGCAACCGAAUGAAUGUGCCUACAGGAAAAUGCAUAAGUAUUCAAGAAAAUUAUAUAAAUUGAAAUAUAAAAAUAAAUAAAGAAUUACAUGUGUAACAAUGUAGAACUAUGCCACUUUUUGAAAAAGUUGAGAAAGUGUAGUUAAUUGAGAACCAGCACGUGCAUCAUGUAAGAAGAGUGCCAGUAAACACUUAAUUGUAAAGUUAAUCCCAAGAGUUGCUCAGUCAAAUUGGAAGACAGUGAGUGGAGGAGAAACAUCUGGGUCAGCUGACACAUGCAAAAGCUCACAUAGUAGUGGGAGUAAGUGGAAGAAGACCAAGGACAGAGAUCAUCAAACUUGCACAGGCCAUGAACAAGGCAAAUAAAAUACAUGGUGUCAGUGAGUCACAAA